AUGAGCUGUUGAAUUACAUUCCCUAUGAAUGAAAUAGAAGUUGACCCCUUGAAAACUAGGAGCUAAGGAAAGAAUGUCUUCAAUCACGUCCUUGAUUUCAAUUGGAGGAGGACAACCUUGUAAGAAUUGGAUAACUUGGAGAGAGUCUCCUUCAAUGAUAAUUCGAGAAAAACCCUUUGCCUUGGCUAGAAGGAUAGCUUUCCUGCACGCAAUAGCUUCACAUUCAAAGGAUCAUAGAUAGCUGGGAGACGUUGCAAGACCAACCACAAAUGGUGCCCGCAUGAUCUUUUGCUACGGCUGCAUAUGCUCCACUUUUAAGGUGUUUAGAAGCUG
rnacentral:misc_RNA from 1 species